rnacentral:rRNA from 1 species
CCUACGGGUGGCAGCAGUGAGGAAUAUUGGUCAAUGGUCGGGAGACUGAACCAGCCAAGCCGCGUGAGGGAUGAAGGUACAGAGUAUCGUAAACCUCUUUUGUCAGGGAACAAAGGCGGGGACGUGUCCCCGGAUGAGUGUACCUGAAGAAAAAGCAUCGGCUAACUCCGUGCCAGCAGCCGAGGUACUACGGGGGAUGCGAGCGUUAUCCGGAUUUAUUGGGUUUAAAGUGUGCGCUGGCGGUCUGUUAUGUCAGCGGUAAAAGCCCGGGGCUCAACCCCGGCCCGCCGUUGAAACUGGCAGUCUCGAGUUGGAGAGAAGUAUGCGGAAUGCGCGGUGUAGCGGUGAAAUGCAUAGAUAUCGCGCAGAACUCCGAUUGCGAAGGCAGCAUGCCGGCUCCACACUGACGCUGAGGCACGAAAGCGUGGGUAUCGAACAGGAUUAGAUACCCCGGUAGUC